rnacentral:lncRNA from 1 species
CAAGGUAGCUCUUUAAAUGGAGCUAUCUGCUAACGAACUAAUUUCUGUAUUCUAGGCCUGCCUGGAAGGUCUAAGGAUAAAGGUUAGCAGCACCAAUUAAGACACAACGAAUACUAUGUGCAAUUCAUUUCAGACUGCAUGCUCUAUGAAGAAAUGCACCAAAUUAACAUUACACUUACUUCAGCUUGCCUGCAGUCAUUCAGAACUUCAGUAGCUUUGUCUUCUAGCGUAGUCAGCUCUUCUGUUAAGUCUUUAAUUUCUUUCUCAUUGUCUCCAAUCUCCUUCUCAGUGCGAAGAACAGAAUCUUCAGAUUUUUUCAGGUUUCUGAAUGGAUACCAAGACAUUCAUGUACUUCACAAGUGCAAAUACAACACCAGAGAAUCCAGAAGCACAGCCUUACUUAUAAAGAUUGUUCCCUAAAUAUUGGUAACCAAAGAGGAAGUGCUUAUGUGUGCACGAACCCUCACACCUCUGGGAUAUGCAGUUGGAAUUUUUCUUCUUCACACUGUACUGCUCUUUGGGAAUCCCUCUGCAGUUCAGAUUCCAGUCUGUUGACCUACACAGAAAGGAAACACAAUCACUCACAGAGUGUCACCACUACAAAACACAGCAAGUACUCAUUCACGUGCUGGACGGUCUAUGAUCUCUUAAAACACAAGAAGUGAUGUAACAGCUUGAGACUUUUCUGCAGCUGGACAGAACAUGGAGGCUGCUGAGAACAUCAAUGAUAAGUGGUGUUAGGAAGACAGAGCAAUCAAGUUAUAGCUACUGAUGUUUAUUGAGUGCCACAAUAUGUCUCAUGGACCAAAUAGAAAACAGAGACAAGCAUGUCUCUUGGAGAGAACUAACCACGGGUAAAUCUGAAGCCUGAAGACAAGAAAUAGCAGUGUUCUCUAUUACUAGGAUAGAAAUAUGAGCUGGCUUAUGUAUUUAUUGAUCCUUUUCAAGACUGGGACAAUAACAGUUUGUCUGUGAGCUUAAUUUAUUACUUCAACACACACUCAACAUUAUAUGAAUAGACUUGACAAAAGUUGCCAUGUCAAACCCUCUGGUGUUUGCAGAACAGUAACGUCUCUUGGUUAAUAUAAUCCUAUUUUCCAAGCUAGGCGAAGGUGAAAAUACAGGAGAAAAAUAGGUACCUUUUUUUACCUCCCAGUGAUAAAACCAAAUAGUGCCAAAACAUGAGCAACGACAGCAAGAGUGGUAACACAAUUAUCUCCUACAGCAGAGAAACCUUCAUGUUGAGUUGGAACUUGGAGUUCUCCAAUAUGAAAGUAUUUUCACAUAGAAAUACUAACCACUGUUUCUGUGUCUUCAAGGGUAAGCAGGUAUUCAACCCCUGUGCUGGCUUACAGCUCUCAUAACUAAAGAACAAGAAGUUCAUUCCCUGUUGGAAGGGGACUGACCUCAGGAGCCACUGUCUACUUGAUAGUUGCAUGGGGGAGAUUGCCUUCUUGCAGAGGUGUUAAUACUGUGGUUUGAUCUUAGGUUGAUCAGCAGAUACUAUGUGAAAAGGGCACAGUCUACAGUUCUGUUUGCACUGAAUGGAAGUACAGAGUAAAACCAAAAUAAAUUCAGAUGGCAAGGAAGUAUUUGAAUUCUUCUAAAUAUUGUUGACAAAAAAUUUGAAGGAAGAUGUUGCCAGACCCUGAGAAAUCUUACAGUGACACAAAACAGUGGACAAAAUCUUUCUUUUCCUGCUGUGAAUUUGCACGUACUGCUCUGCAGCACAAUGGUUCCUUAUAGUCAAUCUCUUCCAUACUGUCAUACCUACCUUCAGUCAGUUUCCAAGCUAUCAAAGGUAGCACAAAGGGACCAAAAACUAAAUGGUAGGCACGUGAUGGUUGGGGUGUGAACAACUGCACUUAGGGGCAAUAGAACUUAUGCUAGCCUCAUAAGCGUUCAGCUUUUUUCAGCUUUCAGCCACUAUCAGAAUAUCUUACAUCUUGUUAACUAUUCGUACAUAUUUAAAAGGACAUCAUAAAAGUGUGUAUGAACUGUCAAAACAUGACGAACUUUAAAGAAAUUCCACUUUUAAUUAGGAUUAUGCACUCACCUCCUCUGGUGAAACAUCAGUUACAACUGAGGAGCCCAUUCUGCCCUUCAUUACUUUACCCCCACCACCAGUCAUUGUUCCUAAAGCAGUGAAAGAGGAAGAGAAGUCAGCAGAGAAGUCAGCACGCUUUGUUUUGCUUAGACAGCAUCUAUGAAGUGCUGAACAUAUAAGUUGACACUUAAAUACCUGACUGCUCAAUGAUUUCUCCUUUCAGCGUUACAACCCUCCACCUCUUAUCUCUUUGGAAUGCUAUUCUGGUAGCAUCUUCCAAGUCCUUAACCACCAGGGUGUCACGUAAUGCAAAGUAAAAAGCUGGGGAGAAGCUCUUAUCUUCUACCUUCACCAGGUCAAUCAGCCGAGGUGCAUUUUCAGGGGUUGGGAUUUUUUGAAGAUUUUUCUUCCAUACGGCCAUCUGCAUAAAAACAAGGAAAUGAAUGCGAGGUUCCUUUGGAUAGAAUAAUGAACUGAUGCCAUAAUUUAAGAUAUGCUAAGGCUUUAGAGCAAAUGUAAAUGUUCUCUAGUUAAAUGUAACUUCCCAGAAUGGUGAAACUUCCUCUUAGCUGAAUCAAAAUUAAACAUUUUGCAUUUUAGCUUUACCUGUAUUAAUACUUAUUCAGUGUAAUAUAUUAACGUAACACAUAUUUGUAUGUACACAAACAUCACUGUGCAUCUUAGGGUAAAUCAGCAACGUAAUUUGUUUUGCCACAGCACCAGCACUUACUUUGUCCAGGGCUAUAAAUGUGGCAGCUCCGAUUUCCGUUUUCUUUAAGAAUUCCACACAUUGCUGCGCGAUAUCGAUUGUAUCAACAACGAUGUAGUCCAGGGCAGCACAAGAUGAUGAAAUAGCAACAUCAUACUUCUCAUCGAUGGCUCCCAAGUCUCCCUAAGAAUUGAAGGGGGAACGGAGAGGGGGGGGCAGAAAUACUCUCAUUACCUGGGCAUCAAUAUUUUGCCUUGGUGUUUAGAGAUAUGACAGA